CCAGAAUUUAUCAUUUCAACCCGAGGAAAAUAGAAUUGACAAAUCAACAAAAUCCCUGAAAUUUAAGUUGUCUGUAUUUCUGAAGACCCAACUUUUGGUAAGAGGGAAACUGUGUUCACAGAGCAGCAUUGUGAUUCACAACUUUUAACAAUGAAGCAGCACAGGAAGGUAAGUUUUCUCAAUGACUCCAGCUUGUGUGAAAUAGAAUAUAUUGUUGGCAUUACCACUUAGGAAAAGCCAAAACCCCUGCAGAGACAUACAAAACUUACAGAUGAAAAUAUACACCUCC
rnacentral:lncRNA from 1 species